rnacentral:pre_miRNA from 1 species
UCAUUUUUGUGACUCGCAGCUUAUGUUUGUCAGGCCAGUUGCAUAGUCACAAAAGUGAUC